rnacentral:lncRNA from 1 species
UGGUGGCUUCCGACUUUGAAUAGGAAUGAUUUUGCAUGAUCUGAUGGCUGGAAUCUCAUCUGAAGUGCGAUCAGAUGGUCAGAAAUGCAUCUGACUUUGAUAAGGAUUAAAACAUCAGAUUUUGGGCUGAUUUGGAUGGUUCAAAGGCAAUCCGACGGUCAGAAUUAAUUUAUAUGAGUAUAAUAUGAUUUCUAAGGAUUUUGGGACUCC